rnacentral:lncRNA from 1 species
CUUGGCUCUUUGUGCAAUCAGCUAUUGGGUAUAGACAAGCAGAUGCUAUCUGGCUCUGAGGCUCCAGUCUCCUCAGGUCCUCCAGGUUUCCCUGACUUUGAGUCCUGCGGAGAGGGGAUUGAGACGUGACUCCCUCCCAAAUGGCCCUAAGCACCUGAGGGGCUGACGACCCUUGGAAGGAGGAGCCAGAUGGAAUCAUCUCCCUGCUAUUGUCUCAGCUGUCAGCACACUAGCACAGGAACAGAUGACAGAAGCACAAGGAUAGGAUUUUAUCGGAAAAUUCACAUACCGAAAGCAUCGGGAGUGACUUUAUCAAAGGAAACAGAUAAAGGAUAAUCAUCCUUGUGAGUGAUCCUACCGAGAAUGUGGUGACUUAAUCCAUCAAGGGUUUCUGGAAUCCUGAAUUCCUAGGGCAGGUCAAUGUUACGGGCCUCAGAGGACAGAGG